rnacentral:tRNA from 1 species
GGGCGCGUAGCUCAGCUGGUUAGAGCGUUCGGUUCACAUCCGAGAGGUCGUUGGUUCGAGUCCAAUCGCGCCCAC